AAUGUAAACACGUAACAGAAACAAGGCAUAACGAAAAUACUAUACAUCAACAAGCUUACGGAGAACUGUCAUCAUCAACGAGAAUUGAUUAAAACACUCGAGUCAACACUAACAAGAUUUAAUAAGAACAUUCAACACCAACGCGAUACAAUGAGAACAAAUAAAAACAACAAGAUAUAACGAGAACACUUAACAUCAUGAAGACAUAAUGAGAACAAUUAAAACAAGACGUAAAGAGAAUAGUCAACAACAAGGAAUUCUUUCCCUCUCAACCUUAGUGUAAAGUAAAGUAGUGUUAAAAAAUUAUAUCAUCGGUGCAUAGGAACUGUAUUUUUGACAGAAAGAUCGACGGGAGUGCCUGUUAAACAAGUUGGUAUCACCCAGCG
rnacentral:lncRNA from 1 species